rnacentral:rRNA from 1 species
AUUGAACGCUGGCGGCAUGCCUUACACAUGCAAGUCGAGCGCAUCCUUCGGGGUGAGCGGCAGACGGGUGAGUAACGCGUGGGAACGUACCCUUUCCUACGGAAUAGCUCCGGGAAACUGGAAUUAAAACCGUAUACGCCCUUAGGGGGAAAGAUUUAUCGGGGAAGGAUCGGCCCGCGUUGGAUUAGCUAGUUGGUGGGGUAAAGGCCUACCAAGGCGACGAUCCAUAGCUGGUCUGAGAGGAUGAUCAGCCACAUUGGGACUGAGACACGGCCCAAACUCCUACGGGAGGCAGCAGUGGGGAAUAUUGGACAAUGGGCGCAAGCCUAAUCCAGCCAUGCCGCGUGAGUGAUGAAGGCCUUAGGGUUGUAAAGCUCUUUCAGUAGGGAAGAUAAUGACGGUACCUACAGAAGAAGCCCCGGCUAACUUCGUGCCAGCCGCCGCGGUAAAAC